AUUAAGCAGGAGCUUCUUGAAUGUGAGUUGUGGGCAUGACACAAGUAGACCAAGCUGCAUUCAACUCUAGUCAUACAAGCAGGAGGAAUAUUGUUCCAUUAGAAAGCACUGCUAUUAUCAACAAUAAAGGAAAGGACAGUAAUGGCACCCAGACCUGGGGCAUCUCAUCAUGAUACGAUUUUUCACUGCCUAACUCUGUGGCAGAUGCUCUGUUGAAUGAAGUAAGUAGAAUAUAGAAUAUGUUUUUAAAAAUUAGGUAAAGGAGUAAAGAUAAUGUUGAAAUAUUAGAAACAUCUGGAAAAAUUGAGAUAAACUUUUGUGAAGAAUUGAGA